rnacentral:rRNA from 1 species
GAGUUUGAUCCUGGUUCAGAUUGAACGCUAGCGGGAUGCCUUACACAUGCAAGUCGAACGGCAGCACGGACUUCGGUCUGGUGGCGAGUGGCGAACGGGUGAGUAAUGUAUCGGAACGUGCCCAGUAGCGGGGGAUAACUACGCGAAAGCGUAGCUAAUACCGCAUACGCCCUACGGGGGAAAGCAGGGGAUCGCAAGACCUUGCACUAUUGGAGCGGCCGAUAUCGGAUUAGCUAGUUGGUGGGGUAACGGCUCACCAAGGCGACGAUCCAUAGCUGGUUUGAGAGGACGACCAGCCACACUGGGACUGAGACACGGCCCAGACUCCUACGGGAGGCAGCAGUGGGGAAUUUUGGACAAUGGGGGAAACCCUGAUCCAGCCAUCCCGCGUGUGCGAUGAAGGCCUUCGGGUUGUAAAGCACUUUUGGCAGGAAAGAAACGUCAUGGGUUAAUACCCCGUGAAACUGACGGUACCUGCAGAAUAAGCACCGGCUAACUACGUGCCAGCAGCCGCGGUAAUACGUAGGGUGCAAGCGUUAAUCGGAAUUACUGGGCGUAAAGCGUGCGCAGGCGGUUCGGAAAGAAAGAUGUGAAAUCCCAGAGCUUAACUUUGGAACUGCAUUUUUAACUACCGGGCUAGAGUGUGUCAGAGGGAGGUGGAAUUCCGCGUGUAGCAGUGAAAUGCGUAGAUAUGCGG